UUCACGGUUCGUGGGAACUGCGGAAGGAUCAUUACAUUCAGUAGCCUAGCUACUUGUUUACACCCUUGUUUUUUGCGUACCUAUUGUUUCCUCGGUGGGCUUGCCUGCCGGUUGGACAAAACUUAUAACCUUUUUAAAUCUUCAAUCAGCGUCUGAAUUAUACAUAAUAAUUACAACUUUCAACAACGGAUCUCUUGGUUCUGGCAUCGAUGAAGAACGCAGCGAAAUGCGAUAAGUAGUGUGAAUUGCAGAAUUCAGUGAAUCAUCGAAUCUUUGAACGCACAUUGCGCCCCUUGGUAUUCCAUGGGGCAUGCCUGUUCGAGCGUCAUUUGUACCUUCAAGCUUUGCUUGGUGUUGGGCGUUUUGUCUUUUUUCUUCGGAAAGUAGACUCGCCUUAAAGUAAUUGGCAGCCAGUGUUUUUGGUAGUAAGCGCAGCACAUUUUGCGUCUUCGUCUUCAAACAGCGGCAUCCAUAAAGCCUCUUUCUCACUUUUGACCUCGGAUCAGGUAGGGAUACCCGCUGAACUUAAGCAUAUCAAUAACCGGAGGAAA
rnacentral:rRNA from 1 species